rnacentral:rRNA from 1 species
GACGAACGCUGGCGGCGUGCUUAACACAUGCAAGUCGAACGGAAAGGCCCUGCUUUUGUGGGGUGCUCGAGUGGCGAACGGGUGAGUAACACGUGAGUAACCUGCCCUUGACUUUGGGAUAACUUCAGGAAACUGGGGCUAAUACCGGAUAGGAGCUCCUGCUGCAUGGUGGGGGUUGGAAAGUUUCGGCGGUUGGGGAUGGACUCGCGGCUUAUCAGCUUGUUUGUGGGGUAGUGGCUUACCAAGGCUUUGACGGGUAGCCGGCCUGAGAGGGUGAACGGCCACAUGGGGACUGAGAUACGGCCCAGACUCCUACGGGAGGCAGCAGUGGGGAAUAUUGCACAAUGGGCGGAAGCCUGAUGCAGCAACGCCGCGUGCGUGAUGACGGCCUUCGGGUGGUAAACCGCUGUCGAAUGUGACGAAGCGUGAGUGACGGUAAUGGGUAAAGAAGCACCGGCUAACUACGUG